UUUUAUUUUUUAAAGUCGACAACUAAAUUUUUGUUUUUAAAAAAACGGUUUCGACAAUAAUAAUUUUGGGAACCUAAAUAAGUUAAUUAAUAAUUCAAGUUUAUCAUACUGAAGUAAUUUUUUUUUCUUAUUUUGUUUUGAUUUUUUUUCAAAUAUAUAUGGUUUAAAAUUUAUAUACUCUAACAUGAAAUUAAUUAUAUUGUA
rnacentral:lncRNA from 1 species